CGAUUUUCUUGUUUUCAUUACUUGCGCGGGGAAUAUAGUAUAAACUGUCAACAUUUGUAGCCGGAGAAGCAAAUAUGGACUCAUGGCUGGCAGAGGAGGAUGAGAAGAAAAGCCUCAGCUCACAAUUUGCAGCAUUGUCACAAGAACUGCUGGUGGUCCCCUGAUUUUGAGUAAAGAAACAGUUGAUUUUGGGGAACUGAUGUACACCCACCAUUCAAGAUCAAUUGCAUCCUCAACGGGGAUGCUGGACUGUGACUUGGGUCUGCCAAGUAUGCUGUGUAACAUCCCAAGUUUUGCAAUGCAGCAGGCACACGUUGUCACCUCAGUGUGUUCACAAGGGCAGCAGCAGCUGCCAAACAGCGAAUGCAAACCAGCCAACUGUUAUAGAAAAUUCUAAUGUAAAAGAGUGUGUGUCAAGAUGAAACCAAAGGAACUUGAUGAGCUAGUGUCAUACAAUUGUAUUCUUUCCUGGAGUUAAAUUGUUGUUCUUGAA